rnacentral:rRNA from 1 species
GACGAACGCUGGCGGCGUGCUUAACACAUGCAAGUCGUACGGUAAGGCCCUUUCGGGGGUACACGAGUGGCGAACGGGUGAGUAACACGUGAGUAACCUGCCCACAACUUUGGGAUAACGCUAGGAAACUGGUGCUAAUACUGGAUAUGUGCUCCUGCUGCAUGGUGGGGGUUGGAAAGCUCCGGCGGUUGUGGAUGGACUCGCGGCCUAUCAGCUGGUUGGUGGGGUAGUGGCCUACCAAGGCGGCGACGGGUAGCCGGCCUGAGAGGGUGACCGGCCACAUUGGGACUGAGAUACGGCCCAGACUCCUACGGGAGGCAGCAGUGGGGAAUAUUGCACAAUGGGCGCAAGCCUGAUGCAGAAACGCCGCGUGCGGGAUGACGGCCUUCGGGUUGUAAACCGCUUUCAGCAGGGACGAAGCUUUUUGUGACGGUACCUGCAGAAGAAGCACCGGCUAACUACGUG